rnacentral:rRNA from 1 species
AACGAACGCUGGCGGCAGGCUUAACACAUGCAAGUCGAACGAACAUAGCAAUAUGUUAGUGGCAGACGGGUGAGGAACACGUGGGAACAUCCCUUUCAGUUCGGAAUAACGUUGGGAAGCUAACGCUAAUACCGGAUACGUCCUUCGGGAGAAAGAUUUAUCGCUGAAAGAUUGGCCCGCGUCUGAUUAGCUAGUUGGUGAGGUAAUGGCUCACCAAGGCUACGAUCAGUAGCUGAUCUGAGAGGAUGAUCAGCCACAUUGGGACUGAGACACGGCCCAAACUCCUACGGGAGGCGGCAGUGGGGAAUAUUGGACAAUGGGCGCAAGCCUGAUCCAGCCAUGCCGCGUGAGUGAUGACGGCCUUCGGGUUGUAAAGCUCUUUUGUCCGGGAAGAUAAUGACUGUACCGGAAGAAUAAGCCCCGGCAAACUUCGUGCCAGCCGCCGCAGUAA